GGUGACCUGCGGAAGGNCAUUACUGAGCUCAUGCCCUUAACCGGGUAGAUCUCCACCCUUGAAUACCUAAACUUUGUUGCUUUGGCGGGCCGCUUCGGCUCCUGGCUUUGGCUAGGGAGUGCCCGCCAGAGAACCACAAACUCUGAAUUAUAGUGUCGUCUGAGUACUAUUAAAUAGUUAAAACUUUCAACAACGGAUCUCUUGGUUCUGGCAUCGAUGAAGAACGCAGCGAAAUGCGAUAAGUAAUGUGAAUUGCAGAAUUCAGUGAAUCAUCGAAUCUUUGAACGCACAUUGCGCCCCUUGGUAUUCCGGGGGGCAUGCCUGUUCGAGCGUCAUUAUAACCCUCAAGCCUAGCUUGGUGUUGGAGCAUGCAGUUCUGCAGCUCUUAAAAUCAGUGGCAGUGCCCUCUGGCUCUAAGCGUAGUAAUAUCUCUCGCUACAGGGUCCAGCGGGAGCGCGCCAGAACCCCCAACUUUCUAUGGUUGACCUCGGAUCAGGUAGGGAUACCCGCUGAACUUAAGCAUAUCAAUAAGCGGAGGAAAAGAAACCAACAGGGAUUGCCUCAGUAACGGCGAGUGAAGCGGCAAAAGCUCAAAUUUGAAAUCUGGCUCUUUCAGGGUCCGAGUUGUAAUUUGUAGAAGAUGCUUUGGGUGUGGCUCCGGUCUAAGUUCCUUGGAACAGGACGUCAUAGAGGGUGAGAAUCCCGUAUGUGAUCGGUUGCCUUCGCCCGUGUAAAGCUCUUUCGACGAGUCGAGUUGUUUGGGAAUGCAGCUCAAAUGGGUGGUAUAUUUCAUCU
rnacentral:rRNA from 1 species